UCCGGUUUGGCACCGGCAGUUCCCCUAGAGUUCCCGGCAUUACCCGCUGGUAACUAGGGGCAAGGGUUGCGCUCGUUGCGGGACUUAACCCAACAUCUCACGACACGAGCUGACGACAGCCAUGCAGCACCUGUCUUGGGACUCCGAAGAGGGCUCCCCGUUUCUGGAGAGUUUCCCCAAGAUGUCAAGCCCAGGUAAGGUUCUUCGCGUUGCGUCGAAUUAAACCACAUGCUCCACCGCUUGUGCGGGCCCCCGUCAAUUCCUUUGAGUUUCAGCCUUGCGGCCGUACUCCCCAGGCGGGGCACUUAAUGCGUUAGCGCCGGCACUCAGGGGGUCGCUCCCCCAAGCACCUAGUGCCCAUCGUUUACGGCGUGGACUAC
rnacentral:misc_RNA from 1 species